rnacentral:rRNA from 1 species
AGAGUUUGAUCAUGGCUCAGAUUGAACGCUGGCGGCAGGCCUAACACAUGCAAGUCGAGCGGUAGAGAGAAGCUUGCUUCUCUUGAGAGCGGCGGACGGGUGAGUAAUGCCUAGGAAUCUGCCUGGUGGUGGGGGAUAACGUUCGGAAACGGACGCUAAUACCCCAUACGUCCUACGGGAGAAAGCAGGGGACCUUCGGGCCUUGCGCUAUCAGAUGAGCCUAGGUCGGAUUAGCUAGUUGGUGAGGUAAUGGCUCACCAAGGCGACGAUCCGUAACUGGUCUGAGAGGAUGAUCAGUCACACUGGAACUGAGACACGGUCCAGACUCCUACGGGAGGCAGCAGUGGGGAAUAUUGGACAAUGGGCGAAAGCCUGAUCCAGCCAUGCCGCGUGUGUGAAGAAGGUCUUCGGAUUGUAAAGCACUUUAAGUUGGGAGGAAGGGUUGUAGAUUAAUACUCUGCAAUUUUGACGUUACCGACAGAAUAAGCACCGGCUAACUCUGUGCCAGCAGCCGCGGUAAUACAGAGGGUGCAAGCGUUAAUCGGAAUUACUGGGCGUAAAGCGCGCGUAGGUGGUUUGUUAAGUUGGAUGUGAAAUCCCCGGGCUCAACCUGGGGAACUGCAUUCAAAACUGACUGACUAGAGUAUGGUAGAGGGUGGUGGAAUUUCCU